GUCCGAUAAACUAUCAACACAGUUAAAACCAGUUAUCAAACAAAAAUCUCUCAAGGAAAAAAUUAAUUUUUGUCCAUUUAAAAGAACAGAAAAGUAGUCGUCAGUAGACUUUGAUAACUCAUAAUUCAUUAGAAGAUGAAUUUAUUAGUUCUGCAUGCAGAUUGGGGGCAUAUCUAAUAAAUAACCAAAACAUAUUUUCUUAAAACCACUUAAUUGGGUUGGGGAUAAUAAAGACUUUAUCUUGCUAGGUAUCGUUGGAUCGCACAUGCUAUGGAACCGUAUCAUACCAUAAUCAACAUUAUGUUGAGCAUAGUAAGGUUCAUUCU
rnacentral:lncRNA from 1 species